UGCAUCAGCCGGGAAUCGAAACCGGGCCGCCCGCGUGGCAGGCGAGCAUUCUACCACUGAACCACCC
rnacentral:tRNA from 1 species